rnacentral:rRNA from 1 species
UCGGGAAUUUUGGACAAUGGGGGCAACCCUGAUCCAGCGAUGCCGCGUGUGUGAAGAAGGCCUGCGGGUUGUAAAGCACUUUAGUUGGGGAGGAGAAGGUUCGUAUGAAUAAUGCGAACUGGAGACGUUACCCAAAGAAUAAGCACCGGCAAACUCUGUGCCAGCAGCCGCGGUAAUACAGAGGGUGCAAGCGUUAAUCGGAGUUACUGGGCGUAAAGGGCACGUAGGUGGUUAUAUAAGUCAGUUGUGAAAUCCCCGGGCUUAACCUGGGAACUGCAGCUGAUACUGUGUGACUAGAGUCGAAGAGAGGGAAGUGGAAUUUCCGGUGUAGCGGUGAAAUGCGUAGAUAUCGGAAGGAACAUCUGUGGCGAAGGCGGCUUCCUGGAUUCAGACUGACACUGAGGUGCGAAAGCGUGGGUAGCGAACAGGAUUAGAUACCCAGUAGUCCCUGAGCGGGCUGGCAAGGCGCAU